rnacentral:rRNA from 1 species
UACGAAGGGGGCUAGCGUUGCUCGGAAUUACUGGGCGUAAAGGGCGCGUAGGCGGACAGUUAAGUCGGGGGUGAAAGCCCGGGGCUCAACCUCGGAAUUGCCUUCGAUACUGGCUGUCUUGAGUGCAGGAGAGGUGUGUGGAACUCCGAGUGUAGAGGUGAAAUUCGUAGAUAUUCGGAAGAACACCAGUGGCGAAGGCGACACACUGGGUCGUUACUGACGCUGAGGCGCGAAAGCGUGGGGAGCAAACAGG